UUCAGGUCCUGAGGACGUCGCUUAUGGUCAGGUAGUCAUCAAAAGCAAGAAGAAAGCUGGCAAGAGGAAAGAGCAGUCAGCUGAUCCAUGUGCUGUGUACUCAUCAGUCAGAGCAGGAAGCUGAGGACACACUCAGUCUGAUGGACGACCUUCAUCCUUCACUCUGCUCCUCUUUCAGAGC